AGGGCGCACGGAGGAUGCCUUGGCACUAGGAGUCGAAGAAGGACGCGACAAACGGCGAAACGCCUCGGGGAGCUGUAAGUGAGCAUUGAUCCGGGGGUAUCCGAAUGGGGAAACCCGCUAGUGGUUAUACGCUAGCACCAUAUGGUGAAUACAUAGCCAUAUAGGAGACAGACCCAGGGAACUGAAACAUCUAAGUACCUGGAGGAAAAGAAAGAAAAAUCGAUUCCCGUAGUAGCGGCGAGCGAAGUGGGAAGAGCCCAAACCGGAUUUAUCCGGGGUUGUAGGACCUUCAUAAUUGACAAAUCAUGAUAGCCGAAUGGUCUGGGAAGGCCAACCGUAGGGGGUGAGAGUCCCGUAGGUGAAAUUGUGAGAUGCAUGGAAGGAAUCCUGAGUACGGCGGGACACGUGGAAUCCCGUCGGAAUCAACGAGGACCAUCUCGUAAGGCUAAAUACUACCUAGUGACCGAUAGUGAACCAGUACCGUGAGGGAAAGGUGAAAAGAACCCCGGAAGGGGAGUGAAAGAGAACCUGAAACCGUGUGCCUACAAAUAGUCAGAGCCCGUUAAUGGGUGAUGGCGUGCCUUUUGUAGAAUGAACCGGCGAGUUACGAUAUCGUGCGAGGUUAAGCAGAAGAUGCGGAGCCGUAGCGAAAGCGAGUCUGAAUAGGGCGAAGAGUACGAUGUUGUAGACCCGAAACCGUGUGAGCUAGCCAUGAGCAGGCUGAAGGUCAGGUAACACUGACUGGAGGGCCGAACCAGGGCACGUUGAAAAGUGCUUGGAUGACUUGUGGCUAGGGGUGAAAUUCCAAUCGAACACGGAUAUAGCUGGUUCUCUCCGAAAUAGCUUUAGGGCUAGCCUCGAUGUUAAGUCUACUGGAGGUAGAGCACUGAAUGGGUGAUGGCCCCACCUCGGGGUACUGAUCUCAAUCAAACUCCGAAUGCCAGAUAGAUAUAAUCGGGAGUCAGACUGUGGGUGAUAAGGUCCAUGGUCAAAAGGGAAAGAGCCCAGACCGCCAGCUAAGGCCCCCAAGUGUCCGUUAAGUGGAAAAGGAUGUGGAGAUGCACAGACAACUAGGAGGUUGGCUUAGAAGCAGCCAUCCUUUAAAGAGUGCGUAAUAGCUCACUAGUCGAGUGACUCUGCGCCGAAAAUGUACCGGGGCUAAACGGACCGCCGAAGCUGCGGAUUGACUUUAGAGUCAGUGGUAGGAGAGCGUUCUAACAGCGGUGAAGCAGUACCGGAAGGAGCUGUGGAGCGGUUAGAAGUGAGAAUGCCGGUGUGAGUAGCGAAAGAUAGGUGAGAAUCCUAUCCAUCGAAAGCCUAAGGUUUCCAGGGGAAGGCUCGUCCGCCCUGGGUAAGUCGGGACCUAAGGUGAGGCCGAAAGGCGUAGCCGAUGGACAACAGGUUGAUAUUCCUGUACCACUUAUUAAACUGAUGGAGUGACGGAGAAGGCUAAGUUGAGCGUGUGAUUGGAUUCACGUGUAAGCAGUGAGGUGGUCAUGUAGGCAAAUCCGCAUGGCAUAACAUUGAGCUGUGAUGCCGAAGCCGAAUGGCGAAGUCAACUGACGUCACGCUUCCAAGAAAAGCUUCUAGGGUUAAUUUAAUAAGUGCCCGUACCGAUAACCGACACAGGUAGGCGAGGAGAGAAUCCUAAGAUGAGCGAGAGAACUCUUGUUAAGGAACUCGGCAAAAUGACCCCGUAACUUCGGGAGAAGGGGUGCUUGUGAAAGCAAGCCGCAGUGAAUAGGCCCAGGCGACUGUUUAUCAAAAACACAGGUCUCUGCUAAACCGCAAGGUGAUGUAUAGGGGCUGACGCCUGCCCGGUGCUGGAAGGUUAAGAGGAGAGGUUAGCGCAAGCGAAGCUUUGAAUUUAAGCCCCAGUAAACGGCGGCCGUAACUAUAACGGUCCUAAGGUAGCGAAAUUCCUUGUCGGGUAAGUUCCGACCCGCACGAAAGGCGUAACGAUCUGGGCGCUGUCUCAACAAGAGACUCGGUGAAAUCAUAGUACCUGUGAAGAUGCAGGUUACCCGCGACAGGACGGAAAGACCCCGUGGAGCUUUACUGUAGCUUGAUAUUGAGCACUGGUGGCACAUGUACAGGAUAGGUAGGAGACGAAGAAACCAGGACGCCAGUCUUGGUGGAGUCGCUGUUGGGAUACUACCCUUGUGUCACUGGGGUUCUAACCCGUGGCCCUUAUCGGGUCAGGGAACAGUGUCAGGUGGGCAGUUUGACUGGGGCGGUCGCCUCCCAAAGAGUAACGGAGG
rnacentral:rRNA from 1 species